AUGACCAGAGGGAAGAGGGCUGAGGCUGCCCCCUCUCAAAGAAGUCAUGGAGGCCAUGAGAAGGAGACUGCCAGGCCUCCAGCCCCAGCGGAGCAAUUGAGCACAGGCAUUCACCUGGAGCUGCACUGCCCAUGGCCACUCCCAGCCCAGGAGCAGCCCUGAGCUUUGCAAGCCCUGGGCUUGCUUACAAUCCCAUUCCUGAGGGACUUGGGACUCCCCCAGGGCUCUUUUGACUACUGGAGGUCUCUCCCCUCCUGUGGGGAUCUCCAGUCAGCCACCCAACCUCCCUGCCUCGGGGGAGAUGUUGGCUCUGCCAGCCUAGCUGGGCUCCCCGAUGGGCUUUUCCUUGCACACAGGCCCAGCCUUGGUGUGUGCUCCUAGGAGGACCCCGGCUCACCCAGGAGGCUACCAGGCCUCUGGAAAGAUGAAGCCCUGGCGGGUAGGACCUGCUCACAGGGCCAGAGCGGGGCCUUCAGAGGUUCCGGGAGAAGAGGGAAGGGGCCAGGAGGGAGGAGGGGAGAUCAGUGGUCCCUGGACUGACAGGGACCCCGGAGUGCACCGCCCUCCAGAGUGGCCUCUGGCUUUCAGGAAAGAGCCCUCCCUCCCUACUGGCAGAGAUUGGGCUGGGGGCCUGUUGCCCCCUGGUGGCCAUGCGGGGCAGAACAUCUUUGUGACCUCACCAGGAAGGGUGAUUCAGGUGAAGGGAGGAGUGGAGAAUUUCUUGUGGUGUUUGGGGUCCUCUCCCACCCCCACUUACAACACAAAUAAUGCGAAUCCUGACCUCCAAGCCUAACCUCAGUAUCUCCUCCUGUGAAGUCAGCAGCGUAGCUGUGCACAUGUGCAAAUGCGCCCAGGCCCAGUGCGCUGCACAGGGUGAGUGGAGGAGCUGUGCAGUACAUGAACCCUACCUCAGCAGAGCCGAAUUAAAAUCAGCAGCAUAAGAAGAGCUGGGAGGAACCGAGGGUUUUAGCUCAUGAAGAUGAUGCUGGUUGAUUCAGUUUCUUGGGACAUUUCCAAACAGACAGGCAAGAAGGUCACACAGAAAGUACCCAGUGAAUCCCUAGUAAAUCACUUGUGCAGUUAAUGGAGCCGUCUGCUCCAUUGCCUGACCACCUGUCUCUUCAUCUAUCUGCCCCCACUCCCUCAAAUGUGUGGACGUCUGUAGCCUCCGCACUGUCCACAGUCACCUGAGAUAGUUGGGUCUAAACCUCCAAAGGCUUCUUCUACUCUAUCAGAGCCGCCUUGACUUUGAGUAGCACCUGAUACUGUCAGUCACGACUUCCCUUAACACCCUGCUCCUCUGACUUCUGUACCUUGAAAACCCUUGGUUUCUCUCUCUCGCUCUCUCUCUCUGUCUCUCUUUCUCUCCCACACACACACGCCCCUUUCUCUCUCUCAUCUUCCCUUCCUUUAUGGCUCUUCUUCCUUCCCCAACUCCUUAAGUUCUUUCCUCUCUUCACUCAAGUCUUCAGCAACUGCAUCUGUUGCUUUAGCUACAAAAAUCGCCUCCAGCAACAAGAUCCUCACCUCACUCUUUGCAGUCUUUACUCCCCUCUCACGCUGUAGCCCACGUUGUCCAGGGUCCCUCUGGUUUUAGUCCUCUGAUGUCCCAUUAACACUUCUAUUUAACUUAUUUAUUUUUAUUAUUUAUUUGAAAGGCAGAGUUACAGAGAGCAGAGGUGGAGGGGAUUGUGUCUUCCAUCCACUGGUUCACUCCCCAAAUGGCCACAAUGGCCAGAGCUGGGCCAGUCUGAAGCCAGGAGCCAUGAACUUCUUCUGGGUCUCACCUGUGGAUGCAAGGGCCCAAGCACUUGGGCCAUCUUCCACUGCUUUCCCAGGCCAUAGCAGAGAGCUGGAUCAGAAGUGCAGCAGCCAGGACACAAAAUGGUACCCAAAGGGGAUGCUGGCACCUCAGGUGGAGGCUUAGCUCACCGACUCAUAGCACUGACUCCCUGUUAACUCUUUUCGAUGCAAGUAUUCCUAAAGAGGAAUUUGUCACCCUCCUGCUGGCAACUGUUCCUCUCAUCCUCUACCCCCCAACAUCCUCACCACCACCACCAAUUUCUGGCAAGACCCUUUUCCCGGCUGUCCAGUUUGAGGCCCUUGAGUCACCAUGGAGUUCUCUGUGUCUGGCACCCUAUGUCCAACUAGUUGCAAAUCCCAGCAGGUUCUGCCUCUGGGCCACCUCACUUAUCUUUCCCUUCAGUGCUAAUUUCACCACCAUAAUUCCAGCUUUCGUGAUCUCUCCCUGCACUUGCCUCCCAUUUCCCUCCAAGGAGCCCAUCUUCUUGUCCAACAGUUUCCCGUAAAGUGUCUCAUUGAUACUGCUCUGUCCUGAAGCUGUCCCUGUCUUUCUCUUCUCUGACGAUGAGACUUCCGGCAGCUGAGGUCUUCCUGCUUUGCUCCAGCCCUCUCUGCAGGCUUGCUUCCUCUCCUGCCAACAUGGGGCUGUUAUUCCACACUGAUACUUGGCGCUCCUCCCACCUGCCCUUGCUCAUGCCACUUUCUCUGCAGAGCAAGGCAGAGGAGCCAAGGUCUCUGCAGUCACAGGCCUGGUUCUGAGGCCCGGUUUCACCGUAAGUUGUUUCCCUGAUCCUCAAGGCCCUGACCUGUAAAGUGGAGAUGAUAAAUCCUCCUAAGAUUGAGAGUUCACUAAGAUAAUGCACUGCCAAGUGUGUGGCCCCUCGUGGUUAAUAAAUGGUAGCUGUCUUUAUGUUUGUCUCCAAACACAUUACCCAUCUUUUGAAAUCUGUGUCAGUGCCAUUCCCUUCCAGACUCCCUUUGGGACCUUCCCACUUCCUGGCCCAGUCUUCCUCCUUCCGCUGCACCCUGUCAGCUGCUGCGCUUCUCCCUGGGACUGUUUUCGUACUUGCCACACAGUCCCGCCAUAUCCUUCCCCAGCUGCCGUCUCCAAGGAAGAAGUGAUUAGCACGGUACACAAGCAGGGGAUACAGCAAUCAACUGCCCGAUGACUUCCAUAUCAGGAAAUGAGCGCCUUGGCUCCCUGCUGGAGAGGAAGACAGCAGCCAGGCCCUCUCUGAGUGAGAUGAAAAUGAGGCUCACGGCUUUAGGAACACAGCUACUGACACGUGGCUUUUAAAAGUAACUGUGUUUCUCAGAAUAUGAAAGUACUCAGAUUUAUUGUGGAAAACCCAGAUGAUCUGCAGUGUACCCAGGAGCAGGCAUUGACGUAGCAGUUCCCAGCUGAGAUGCCCCUGUUCCAUACUGGAGCACGUGGGUGCGAGUUCAGGCUCUGCUCCCAGUUCCAGCUUCCUGCUAAUGUGCGUCCUGGCAGGCCGGCGAUUGACCAACUAGUUGGGUCCCUGACACCUAUGUGGGAGACCCAGAUGGAGUUCCAGCUCCCAGCUCUGAACAAGCCCAGCCCUGGCUAUUGCAGCCAUUUGGAGAGAGAACCAGAGGAUUUAAAAAUUUGGAUUCUGUUAUACCGGAAUUGGGUAUAUCCCAGCAUUUUCAUCCAGUGUGCGAGGGGCAUUUUCUCAUGAUACUAAAUGUCAUACAAAAAUACUAAUUUCCCAGGAUGUCUGCGUGGCACGGGGAGUUAUGCUGCCACUUGGCAUGCUCACAUCCCACAGCAGAGUCCCUGGGAUCUGGUACUGCCUUCACCUCGGAUCCAGCUUUCUGCUGCCGUGCCUGAGAGCAGAUGACGGCUCAGGUACUUGGGUUCCUGCAACCAAUGGGUUAGACCUGGAGGGAGUGUCUGGCUCCUGGCUUCAGCCUGAUCCAGACCUAGCUGUUGCAGAUAUUUGGGGAACAAAUCAGCAGAUGGAAGAUCUCUGUCUUUGUCUGUCUGUCCUUCUCUUAUCACUCUGCCUUUUAAAUAAAUAAAUAAAUAUUUUAAAAAAUAUUAAUUUCCCCUCAGUAAUUCAUCAUGUGAAUAUAUCAUAGCUUAUUUUUUAAAAAGAUUUAUUUUUUUGAAAGUCAGAGUUACACACAGAGAGAAGGAGAGGCAGAAAGAGAGAGGUCUUCCAUAUACUGGUUCAUUCCCCAGUUGGCCACAACAGCCGGAGCUGUACUGAUCCAAAGCCAGGAGCCAGGAGCUUCCUCCGGGUCUCCCACUUACAUCUUGGCCCAAGGACUUGGGCCAUCUUCUAUGCUUUCCCAGCCACAGCAGAGAGCUGGAUCAGAAGUGGAGCAGCGGGGUCUCAAACCAGCACCCAUAUGGAAUGCUGGCACUGCAGACAGCAGCUUAACCCACUACACCACAGCGCUGGCCCCAGUGUACCAUAACUUAUUUAAUCUUUUCUACUGUUGAGUAUUAAGCUUCCUUUUUUCAAAAACUGUUAUCAGUAAUGAUGAUGGAAAUACCGGGAUAGACUGAUGGACUUGGGAUUACAUGACCAAGGGAAUGAAGUGCAAAUUCCCUCUUGCUUCUGAAUUCCUCUUGAGGAAACUUUUUACCCAUUUCUAGUUUCAAUAUCUACACAAGCUGUCUUAUUCAUGUUCACCUCCUUUCCCAACUUGAAAGACUAACCCAUUUCAGGAAUGAGGCCAUGUUUGGGUUCCAUGUCCUAUGGAAAAUGUCUGUGCAUGGAUUCCAACUCAGCUCAAUUCCAGAGACCAAGAGAGCACAUGAGCAUGAGGGCUCAAGAUCACUGGGAGUCUUACCAUCCCUUACAAGUAGCCUAGCUUUCCUUUGCUUGGUCUUUUAAUUUGGUCUGUUCCUCUGAGCUUAUUAACAGUGAAAUACUUUUGCAUUUCAGACAGUCUAGUAUGCUGCACAGAUAAGAAAUGAUAGAGAACUUAACACAGAGUCAUUCUUAGGUGUUUAAAUCCAAUUGAAAAUUGAUACCUGUUAAAAAUAAGAGAGGGAGGAGAUGUACAGUUUGUCACACAUUCUCUCAGACUUACACCUAAGGGUAAAGCUAAAAACUUGCCAUGGGACUACAAAUCCCAUUAAGUUGGCAGGUACCAAUGCCAUCUUACUAGUUAAAGUGAUCAGCUUAAGUUCUUAUGAUCAUAAAGAUAGGAUUAAGUGUCAAAGGGAUCACAUAAAUAAGACCAAGUGUCUGCUAUAAUAAUUGAUAGAAUUAAAAAGGAGAGAGUGAUCCAACAUGAGAAGCAGCCCACACAGCAGACUCAAAGAAUGGCAAAUGCCCUAAACAUUGCUCUGGCCUCAGAAUCAGCCUUAGGCAUUCAGAUCUGGCUAAAAACCCCAUGAGAGCAUUCCAGGCAUGGAGAGCCAAGACACUAUGGCAAAGAAUAACCUACAUGAACAAUUUCUGUGAGUGAGAACCCGGUGUAAAGAAGGGGCCAUAAGAGAAAGAGAUACCUUUCUCUAAAGGGAGGAAAGAACUUCUAUUUUGAUUAUGGCCUUGUCUAAUGUCAGAGUUUGUGAACUCAAGAGGCUUCCAUAGCCUUGGCAGCUCAUGACAAGAGCCUCAGGUGAUUACUGACGUCAUAAAUAAGAGUGUCAGCUGCUAAAUCAACAACAGGAGUCACUGUGCACUUGCUCCCCAUGUAGGAUCUCUGUCCUUAAUGUGUUGUACUAUGAGAAUUAAUGGUAAAACUAGGCUUCAAAUAGUACUUUACUUUGUGUGUCUGUAUGGGUGCAAACUUAGUAUAGAAUUGAUCUUCUAUAUAUAAGAUAAUUAAAAAUGAAUCUUGGUGAACAGCAGGAUGGGAGAGGGAGUAGGAGGUGGGACAGUUUGGGGGUGGGAGGGCAGGUAUGAGGAGAAGAACCAAAAUAAUCCAAAAGUUGUACCUAUGAAAUUUAUAUUUAUUAAAUAAAAGCUUUCUAUAACAAAAAAAUGGUAGAGAUAGAAAUCAUCACUCCAUUUCUCACUGGUCUCAAGAAGUCAGCUCUCUGCCUGAUAUCUUCAUAGCACCCUGUCUUUCUCCCAUGUAGCCCUUUGUACAACAACAAAUCCUAAAUGACUUGCCUGAGUAUUUACCCAGCACCUGUCUUCUCCACCAGCAUGCAUGCUCCACGACGCAGGCCAUGACUGCUUGUUUGCUGCUUCCUCUCUAGAGCUGAACACAGUACCCCGCCCCCCCCCCCCCAUACAGUAAAUGUCUGUGGAAUGAACUGCCCACUGGGGUGGGGACCCUGGCGGGAAGAAUAGGUGCCUCUUGUACUGGGACCCUUGGGCUGGGACAAAGAGAGGCCUUGGAUGACUGUGACCAGGCCCUGCAAUGAUGCUGGGAGAAUGUGCCUCAGGCCAUCUGCCCUGAUCUCUCCUCCUCACCUCUGGGGACAUUCAGUCAGCUGUGCCUCAAGUGGAUGCUGGCAAGUGGCUCUGAGGGUCAGAACGGUAUUGUCACAGGUGCUCUUCGCCAGGCCUCUCUCUUAAACCUCCCUCCUGUUUCUCUCUCAUGCCUUUCUUAAAAAUUAUUUAUUUGAAAAGCAGAGUUACAGAGAGGCAGAGGCAGAAAGAGAGGGAAACAGAGAGAGAGAGAGAGAGAGAGUCUUCCAACCACUGGUUCACUCCCCAUAUGGUUGCAAUGGCUGGAGCUGGGCUGAUCCAAAGCCAAGAACCAGGAGCUUCUUCUGGGUCUCCCACGUGGGUACAGGGGCUUAAGGACUUGGGGCAUCUUUCACUGUCUUCCCAGGACAUAGCAGAGAGUAGGAUUAGAAGUGGAGCAGCUAAGACUCGAGCCAGUGCCCAUAUGGGAUGUCAGCACUGCAGGCAGUGGCUUUACCCGUUAAGACACAGUGCUGGCGCCUCUCAUGCCUUUCUUGAUACCCCUCCCCACCACACACAAACCCCUCCCUUUGCAAUGGGCUCCUCUUUCUUUCUACUCUGCUGUCUCCACCUUGCGUGGAGCUCUGGCCUCCUACCUACCAGCAGGUGGCCUGACUGAUACUCAGCAUGAGCUGUGGAACCCUGCCUGACGCAGCUGGAAGUCUGCCUACAAGUGAAAAUGCUGAUGGACUGCUUCAGAGCACAUGAGCCCCGCUGUGUGGACCACACUCAGCAAGGGGGCCUGACCACGGGCUCAGGAACUGAAGACUCACUUCUCCACUUUGGUUGGUCUCGCACUAAUUCAGUACAGCUGGUUUCCUCCAGCUGUUCAGUCUUCUGUAUAAGACAGGGACAAAUGGACAAAGAUACCAAGGAGGGGCCCCUGGAAAUUGGAAAAAAAAAAAACUGAGGAUCCCAUUCAAAAAGCAUCUCGGGGUGAACUUUUCACACAGCUGUUAAGACACCACUUGGGAUGCCUGUAUCCCAUAGCAGAGUGCCCUGUUCAAGUCCUGGCUCUACUUCCAAUUCCAGCCCUGCAAUGCACACCCUGGAAGGCAGCAGGCAAUCACUCAAGUACUUGGAUCCCUGCCAUCCAUGUGGGAGCUGCAAGCUGAGUUCUGGGUUUGGCCUAGCCUACCACCUCCCCCCGCCCCCGUUAUGGAUAUUUGGGGAGUGAACCUGCAGAGAGAAUAUCUAUGUAUCUUGGUCUCUGUCUCUCUUUCAGAUAAAUGAAAAUACAUAAAAAUUUACAGAACAUUCUCUUGGGAGGCAUGAAGAUGCCAAAUGUAUUCAGGAGGAGCUGUGAAAUGGGGAACACGAUAGGAAAGAAGUAAAAGCUCAAAGUGAGUUAUUUCGAUGAGGAAGUGGGUUACCUCCAGUCUCUGAGGUCCUUGAAGAAACAGCAAAACAUUCUUUUCUUGGUUUUGGGCUAAGGAUGGCUGUCAAAGAACUUCCUUUGCUAGCACUUUCUGUGGAUCUGGCUUGUCCAUUCUGAUGUGUUGAGCAGCAGGGGCUUGUGGAGGUACAGGCAUGAAAACAGAGGGCUUCCGUGAGCUCAGACACUCAGGUCCUCUGCAGGUCCACCGUGUUUGUGGUGCCAAAGGUGGACUACUCAGAUGUUAGUCUUUUUUUCACGCAGAUGACUAGUGGAUUCUGAUGAGGACCAGGGUCUGAUACCCAAGGUUCCUUCUUACAGAUGGUGAUUUCCAGUGUCUUCUGUUAAGAAUCUUUGCUCAAGUGAGCCAUGGUUGCUUGUUGAAUGUGUCCUAUUGUUCAUGCUUAUGGAGGUAAAAAGGAUUAAGAGAAGAUCUGUAGAGUGGAUUGUGUCCCCUGUAGAGUCUGGAAAGAGAAUCGCCCCAGGGCUCCUUUGUCUGGAAUGUGGAAGGCAACUUAUCCUAUUCGCUAAGUCUCCUUCAGGAGAAUGUGCGAGGGGGUGGGUCACAGGUGUCCUUCCUGUAGUCUUUGCUGGCUUUGGGUCUAGUGGACCUGGGCAACACAGUAGGAGCUGGUGGGGAUAGGGAUGGUGUGGAAAGGAAAGGCACUGGUGGCGGAAAUGGGGUUGUCCACCUCCUAAGGCCUGCACUAGAGGGAGGCACGAACCAGACCCUCACCCAGUGAAGCAAAGGGACCGAUUCAGCAGGCGCCUUAAGAAGAGGUGCUUUUGCUUCUGAUGGACCUCGUUUCAGAAGGACUCUCCUUCAAGUACCACCUUUUUUUUUUUUUUUUUUUAGGAUUUAUUGUAUUUACUUGAAAGGCAGAUUUACAGAGAGAGAUAGAGACAGAGAUCUUCCUUCUGCUGGUUCACUCCGCAAAUGGCUGCAACGGCCAGAGCUGCACCAAUCUGAAGCCAGGAGCCAGGAGCUUCUUCCGGGUCUCCCACAUGGGUGCAGGGGUCCAAGGACUUGGGCCAUCUUCUGCUGCUUUCCCUGGCCAUUAGCGAGUGCUGGAUGGGAAGUGGAGUAGCUGGGAUUUGAACCGGCAUCCAUUUGGGAUGCUGGCACCGCAGGUCAGGGCUUUAUCCUCUGAGCCACAGCGCCAGCCCCAAGGAUCACUUUUAUAAUCUUGCUAGCUGCAGGAGCAUCAUUCCCUCCUGUUGGUGUCGCUGGAAAUGGAAUAGGGUGGAUGCAGACCAUCCUGGGACCCACAUCCCUCAGACAGUGCCAGGGACGUCCUGAACAAAGGGCUGUACCUUACCUGUGAAUUGCUGUGUACAUGUGUGAAUGCUUUUCACGAGAAUGGAUAUUGUGGUAAGAUAAAUAAGUCUGUUUUGUGUUUUUGAACACACAGUUUACAAAGACUUCUAAGUUCAACCAUUUUAAUCCCAAAAUAGUCCUUUAGGUCAGCCUAGCAGACACUGUUCUCAACACUGCAGAAACUGGUCUAAAACCCACCCACACCACUAGUUGCUGAGCCAACAGAUAAACCCAGGAGUUCCAUUAAAAUUCAAGUUCAAGGUUCUGAGGUAUUGCUGAACUGAGCAAGAGCCAGCCUGCGCCUCUGGACACCCCUGAUGCCAGCUACCCUUUGUAACAGGAAAAGUCAAGUCUGGUAGGAGCCCGAGGACGUGGAGAAGUACUGGACACAAAAUCACUGGGAAAUUCCACUCGAUGUCCACAUUUGCAACUUCUUGAGUAAGUUGAAUUGUCACAGGAAGGCCGGCACCUUCUGGAAACAUUUCUCAAGCCGUGUUACAUCACCAGUGCUCCCAAGGCCAGGAGGGCGAUCCACGUGUGGAAGCCCAGUACUGAGCGGGGGACAGCAGUUGGAGGUGGCCCAGGAAGGUGGCCGUGAAGAAAGCCAUCUGGCCAUGUGCACGGAGGAGUGAGCUCGUCACAUGAUGACCUGCCCUGAGUCCACUCAGACUCCCGCUGCUCACGGGCCUCCUCCAGAAUCCAAAUGACCCCCGAGGGACUCAGAAACCAUCUCCUGUUGCUCUCUCUGCUUCUCGGCCCACACUGUAGCUCCCUGCUCCGCACCCCUGUUCCCGCGUCCACUUCUGCGGGCCAAGGGUCCUUUGGCAAUGACACAGCUCCUGGGUAGGAGGCAGCAGCUCGCCCUUUCCUUGCAGACCAGCUCCCUUAACCCGGGAUGCUUGCUGCUGCCCCAGCUCCUCAGCCUGUUUCUUCCCAAAGAACACGGGUGCACUGGAGAGUGCCCUGCUGCCUGGGGAGGCUCGCCGACAGUUCCUCAGCUCCAGUCUUAACGGGAGUCCCUCCGCUUCGCAGUGCCUGGGCCUGGGGCAGGAGACGCGAGCAGCAGACUGACAGGUAAACAGUCACUUUUGAACCCUGUGUCAAAAGUUGGGGUACACUUAAUCAUGAAGAGGCCAAGUCCAGCCCUCGGUUAUCUGGGAUCAAAAUUCCUUCCAGGGACACUCAAGACAGGUGCCUUGCACUGGGGAGGGAGGCACCAGGCCACGGCAGCAGUGGAGUCGCCCUGGGUGGGGAGCCAGGAGUCAGCAGAGGGCCAUCUCCUUCCAGCCAGCAAGCAUGGAGGAGUGCAGAGGGAGCACAGCCCUGUGAAUAGAUUCUUUCUGGGGCACAGCACAUGUUUGUUUUAAGGCAGAGGAGGUGACCAGAGGCCAAAGCUAGGACAUGCUUUGGGGCUCAUGCCCCAAAGGUUUCCUUUCUUUGGUUUAUAAUAUUUGUUCAUUUAUUCAUUCAUUCAUUCAAAAGGCAGAACAAAAAAGGGGGGUUGGAGAGGGAAGAAGGGAGAAAGAGAAAUAUGAGAGCAUGUGGGGGGGGGGUGUCAGUGCUGUGGUGAGCUGGUAAGGCUGCUGCCUGCAGUGCCGGCAUCCUAUAUGGGCACUGAUUUGAAUCCCUGCUUCUCCACUUCUGAUUCAGCUUUCUGCUAAGGCCUGGGAAAGCAGUAGAAGAUGGCCCAAGUCCUUGGGCCCCUGCACCCAUGUGGGAGACCCGGAAGAAGCUCCUGGCUCCUGGCUUCAGAUUGAUGCAACUCUGGCCGCUUUGACCAUCUGGGGAGUGAACCAGCAGGUGGAAGAUCUGUCUCUCUCUCUCUCUGCCUCUCUGUAAUUCUGCCUUUCAAAUAAAUAAACAAAUCAUAAGAGUUAGAGAGAAAAAUUGAUCUUCCAUCUGCUGGUUCCUUCCCCAAAUAUUUACAACAUCUAGUGCUGAGCCAGCCAAAGCCAGGAGCCAGAAACUCCACCAGUGUCUACCAUGUGGGUGGCAGGGCACAAGUGGUUGGGUCUUUGGGUACAUUAAUAGGGAACUGGAUUGGGAUAUGGGACACAGGUGUCCUCAGUGGUGGCCAAUCCCAUGGUGACACAAUGCUCACAACAGGGUUUUAUAGGUAUGAGGUUGGAAAGACAGCACAUCCACCUGAUGUCCCCAAAGAACAGGCCUGAUGCUCCCUGUGGAAGAACCCUAAUGUCUCUCACAGACCAAUCGUGAUGUCUCUCAGACCAACCUGACAUCCCUCACAGACCCACCCUCACACAGACCACUCCUGACAUCUGUCACAGAUCAACCUGACGUCUCUCAGGGUUCCAGCCUGUGCUCAGGCCCAGAAUAGGCGCACUGCCAAGAAGAACCUCAGGAAAGGGGCCAGCCCCAAGCGGGCCUGACAUCGACUCCCCCGAGGAAGUCCCGUCAGAUGUCCUCGUCCUUUGCUCUCCGAUGCAUCCCCUGGGCUAAAGCACAUCCGUCCUUCCGUGGCGGUGCCUUGCCCCUGAGCCAUGCGAGGACAAGUGUCAGAAGAAGGAACACCACAAGCCGGACCCCUGCAGUCCUUUUCCAGCCCUCACACGGGUCACAGAUCCUCUCCUUCAGUCCUGAGGCGGGGUCCCUGCCACUCUCCAUUUCUGCAGCCAUGGGCCUGGAUGGGGGAGGGGAGCCUCCUUGUCUACUCACUGGGGGUCAGCCCCAGGGAGGUACGAAGGAGGCCCAGCCAAUGGGAGGCAGCACUUUCCAGUCUCUCACCCUGGCCUUGUCCCCACCCAGUCCCUGCCGGCCCUUUGAGGAGCUUCUAGUGGAAAUGAGCUCGGACCCCGCAAUGGAGGCCCCAGGCUCGGGGCCCGGCCCCUCCCCUCGCUCUUUCAUGCUGUCUUCUCUCUGCCUUCGUCCCCGGCAGUGGGCUUUCUCCAGUCCUCCCACCCCAAGUGCCCAUUCGGCCCUCACGUGCCCCUCCCUUCCGGCUUCAAGCCCUGACUCCCAGUUCCCACGUGCCCCGUUCGUUCCUCUCAUCCCCUGGACUUGCAAGCAGCGGGAGGGAGAGAGCCCCCGCAGGAGUGACGCUCACGCCCCUCCCGCCUCCCUCCCCAGCGGGCACAGAUCCCCUGGCAAAGGCAGGUGGCAGAGCUGGUGACAGCAGCUGCUCUCGGGCUCCUCUCCUUGCCCUGUGCUGGCGGGCUGCCGGGCCUUGGCUCCCUCUUUCUCCAGGUGAGAGGGGCACCUGGGUUCAGGUCCCUCCUGCUCCCAUGGAUGCCACAGAAAGUCCCCAGGGACAGGAGCAGCAAAAGUCGGCGAGGGAAGCCUGGGACAACCCCGCCUAUAGUGGUCCCCCUUCACCUCAUGGGACACUGAGGAUUUGCACCAUCUCCAAUCCAGUGACGCCCCAACCCCAACCCACGAAGCCUGGGGAUGGCCCCCAGGAAAAGGCUCCCAAGACCCUGGUGUCCAGCUGCUGCCUGCGGGUCCUCCAUGCCGUCAGAGGACUCUGGGGAACCACCCUGACUGAGGACACAGCUGAGAACCGGGAGCUGUACGUGAAGACCACGCUGCGGGAGCUGCUAGUGUACAUCGUGUUCCUGGCGGACGUCUGUCUCUGUGAGUAGCUUCUGCCUCUGUGUCCCUCUGUCCUGGCGCUGUGUGUGCAGUGUCCGUGUCUGCCUUCCAGUGGGCGACAUCCAUCUAUGCAGGCGUGGCCUGGGAACUUCACAUCGAUCUCAAACCCCACUUAGUACCUUUCAGUCAACACACUUUGCUUAAAAGGAACUUGUCACUGGAUGCAGUGGAAGAGGGAGAGUGCCAGCAAGCUGUUAAGACAGUGGUUUUGGUAAGAAUUACCAGGGAACCCAGUUGUUAAGUUCCGGUUCCUGACGCUGACCCAGCGGCUCUGGUUUCCUGGUGGAGGUGGGAUUUCAGCCUCUGUGAGGCGUGGAAGACACUCCUUUCUGUGUGCUGGCCUCAGCGUACUUCAUUACUGUGCUACCUCCGACCGCUGUUUCUUUAGAGGCAGGGAGGAGGGGUUUCAGGCGGCUUCCCUGAAGCUCUGGCUGGAGAUGCAGCCUGGAAAGCUCGUCUCUAAGUUAGAGAAGCAAGUGGCAGAUGGAAGGGUGGACUAUGGAAAGAAAGAGUGGAAGAACCGUGUGCAGUGCUGAAGUUGGCCCAGGCAGGUCUCUGAGGCCUGAGGAUGAGGGCAGGAACUUUGCACUCAGCUAAUUAGUUUGUUCGACAGUUGCACAGGAAGUGAGGUUGGGCUCAUUUACUGGAGAUGGCUGUGUAUGGUGUGCUGGCUAAAGCUGCAGCUGGCCACACAACUAAGGUGGCCCUCACUAGAGGCCUGGUGGCCUCCAGCAGGUGCUGUUCUUAUUAGGGGCGCGCGCGGGUGUCUGAAGGAGGAACCUGAAGGUCUGACAGCCUAAGCGGAUGUCCUCUUGUCGCCGUGUGAGCGCUCCAGGACAGCUGGGCAGAAAGCACUUGCUUCUGCCGGGGCUCUGUGGGGCUCUGUGAGGACGAGGGGCUCCCUGAGGGGCUCUGUGAGGACGAGGGGCUCCCUGAGGGUUUACCUGGUCUCAGCACGGGGUGACAGGGCCGUGCGUGUGAGGAACAAUGGUGUACCUGUGCACAUUCUGCAGGGCCUCUUGGGUUCCUUUCAGCAAAUGACUGUCACACGUUCAUUGUUGACCUUGACCUUUGUCUUCACCACCUGCUAGGAAGCAGUGUUCCUUUCCUCUUUCAGAUCCCGUGACACUCGCUGAAAGGCACAGGCAGCUCCUCUCUCCCUGAGUGACUUAAAUGUCUGUAGCUCCAGAUCAGCCUUUGGGACACGAGCAGGCAGUCUCUAGCUCCCAGAGUUACAGGGGAUCGUGUCUCACUCCUCCGGAUGUGGCUGGCAGGAAGUGGUGGAAGUUUGGGUUCUGGAAGCGCAGAAGUCUGGUCCACUCAUGUUCUCUGCUUUCAGAGGUCAGUGCAGUGGUCAGUGGCCGGUGCUGUGGGGCUGGUCAACGUCAAGGCAGAGACUCAGACCAGUCGCUGUGGAAUCCUUGUGGGGCCGGGGCUUCAGAGGCCUCUAGCUUGAGGCUGCAGAAUGUGCAGAGUCCCUGCUCUGGCAUCUCCCUUGGUGCUCUGGCAGGUGGCCAGCCAACCCCAGCCUGGGCAGUGCCGAUGGGGACCUCAGUGUCUUGUGGAGCGUUCUGUUUUCCUACAGUUGGGCAGCUCUAUUUGCUUCCAUUUCCAGAGGCCCCUCCUCUGUGCAGACACUGUCGGGGGCUCAUAGAUGACUGGACACAUGGGCCUUUCCCAUCAAGGGCUCCCUUCUCCUUUUCAGGACUUUCUUAUUCUCUUGAGUCAUCGGCUUGCCUUAGCGUCUGCAGUGACCUUUCCACUGACUGAGUGCUGUAGCUGUCAUGUUUCUCCUUGAUCAUCUGUGCUUCUAGCUAAAUAAUUUCUGUUUCUCAGGAAACCAGACACUGUAGUAGUGUUCUUAGAGGUGCUCUUAUGUACAGGUGGAAGGCACAGGCUCUGAAUUUGCACAGAUUUAGGUUCAAGCACCACACUCGACUAUUUACCUGUGAGGGACACUGAGCAAGUCGCUUACCUUCCUUGAAGCUCAGUUUCCUCCUGUGUACCUAUGUAAUACAAGAGGAUUGUGGGAGGUAAUAUCCGUGAGGUCACUCACUGAGUGCCUGGCUUGUAUUAGAAACUAUUGUGGAUGCCCACCAUACUGAUGCUGUCUCCAGCCCUGGUAUAAAUGAAGCCAAGUACAGGAGGACAAUGUUCCAUGGGCACCUGACGAGGCCAGAAUGCUCCUGCUGUAUCCAGAGUUGGGGGCCUAUGAGGUCAGACAGAGGAAGUGAUACCUGAGCAGAGACUCAAGAGAUGAAGAGCAUUUAGUUGUUGAAGGUAAAGAGAAGGGAAGUUUCUUUAAAAAAAAAAAAAAAAAAAAAGGUCCAUUUUAUUUACUAGAAAGGCAGAGUUAGAGAGAGAGAGAGAGAGAUCUUACA